rnacentral:rRNA from 1 species
CCCUUAGAUUUUCUGGGCCGCACGCGCGCUACAAUGAUGAAUUCAACGAGUUUAUAACCUUGGUUGAAAAGCCUGGGUAAUCUUUUGAACUUUCGUCGUGAUGGGGCUAGACCCUUGCAAUUAUUGGUCUCCAACGAGGAAUUCCUAGUAAACGCAAGUCAUCAGCUUGCAUUGAUUACGUCCCUGCCCUUUGUACACACCGCCCGUCGCACCUACCGAUUGAAUGGUCCGGUGAAAUCUUCGGAUUGAGACUUUGAUUUCUUCACGGAAAACGCUGUUUUAAAAAGUUGAUUAAACCUUACCAUUUAGAGGAAGGUGAAGUCGUAACA